CGUAGGGUGCGUAGCGUUAAUCGGAAUUACUGGGCGUAAAGCGUGCGCAGGCGGUUUUGUAAGACAGAUGUCGAAAUCCCCGGGCUCAACCUGGGACCUGCAUUUGGUGACUGCAAGGCUAGAGUACGGUAGAGGGGAUGGAAUUCCGCGUGUAGCAGUGAAAUGCGUAGAUAUGCGGAGGAACACCGAUGGCGAAGGCAAUCCCCUGGACCUGUACUGACGCUCAUGGCACGAAAGCGUGGGGAGCAAACAGGAUUAGAUACCCUGGUAGUCCACGCCCUAAACGAUGUCAACUGGUUGUUGGGUCUUUACUGACUCAGUAACGAAGCUAACGCGUGAAGUUGACCGCCUGGGGAGUACGGCCGCAAGGUUG
rnacentral:rRNA from 1 species